rnacentral:rRNA from 1 species
AGAGUUUGAUUAUGGCUCAGGACGAACGCUGGCGGCAUGCCUAACACAUGCAAGUCGAACGAGAAAGCUUCUUCGGAAGUGAUUAAAGUGGCGCACGGGUGAGUAACGCGUAGACAAUCUGCCCUUCAGUCCGGGACAACUUUCCGAAAGGGGAGCUAAUACCGGAUAACAAUAUUUGACAUAAGUUUAAUAUUUGAAAGCUCCGGCGCUGAUGGAUGAGUCUGCGUCCCAUUAGCUUGUUGGUGUGGUAGUGGCACACCAAGGCGACGAUGGGUAGCGGGUUUGAGAGGACGAUCCGCCACACUGGAACUGAGACACGGUCCAGACUCCUACGGGAGGCAGCAGUGGGGAAUAUUGCACAAUGGAGGAAACUCUGAUGCAGCAAUGCCGCGUGAGUGAAGAAGGCCCUUGGGUCGUAAAGCUCUUUUAUGGGGGAAGAUGAUGACGGUACCCCAGGAAUAAGCACCGGCUAACUACGUGCCAGCAGCCGCGGUAAUAC